UUUUCUCCUCUAGAACACACUGCAGUUUAAUUUCACUUCUUUCUACAGUGUGCGAUGAAGGUGGACUUAACUUUUAAAGGCAAAGAGACAAACCACUGCCAGGAUAAAUGAGAAGACGCAGAGGGGGCAGCUGGCACCACACAGGAGAGGAAAUGCUUUCUGGCUGGUUCCUAAUUUUCAUAUCCGGGUUAUCGUCAGAAAUCAUUUUCAGAGCAGCCAGAAACAUGUUAAUCUGAGGAAAAGCUCCACACCCCUACACAGACUUCCCUUUCCUGCCGACUGACUGAGCCAAGGAGGAAGAGUUGCUGAAGGUCAAAAGUUAUCAUCAAGUGAAUACCGAGCAAGAAUUCCGAACAAUAACUUAUGUGGAGGUGAUGUAAAAAUGCUGCUUACUGGCUUGAUCAUUGACUUAUGGUCAGCUAGUUUGCAUCUAUAGACCUGUCCUCCCUGCGAGGAAAUAGUGCCACUCACAAUGGAAUGAACCCUCCCACAUUAGUCAUCACUCAACACAGUCUCUCAUGAGCAUGGCCACAGACACAUCAGGUCUGGUAACCUCUCACUGAGAGUCUUUUAGAUGACUCUAUGGUAUGCCAAUUUAGCAGCUGAAGUUAUCUAGGACUCUUCACAAUAUUUUGCUAUAUGAACAUCAUACUAACGGCCAUCAUUGGGAAGAGAGGCCCCUUGGUCUUGUAAACUUUAUAUGCCCCAGUACAGGGGAA